rnacentral:tRNA from 2 species
GGGCGGUUAGCUCAGUGGUUAGAGCGCUGCGUUGACAUCGCAGAGGUCACUGGUUCAAGUCCAGUACUGCCCACCA